CCUACGGGAGGCUGCAGUGGGGGAUAUUGCACAAUGGGGGAACCCCUGAUGCAGCGACGCCGCGUGUGGGAAGACGGUCCUCUGGAUUGUAAACCACUGUCCCCAGGGACGAAGAUGACGGUACCUGGGGAGGAAGCUCCGGCUAACGACGUGCCAGCAGCCCCGGUAAUACGUAGGGAGCGAGCGUUGUCCGGAAUUACUGGGGGUAAAGGGAGCGUAGGCGGGACUGCAAGUUGGGGGUCAAAUCUACCGGCUCAACCGGGAGCCGCACUCAACACUGCAGUUCUUGAGUGUAGUAGAGGCAGGCGGAAUUCCUAGUGUAGCGGUGAAAUGCGUAGAUAUUAGGAGGAACACCAGUGGCGAAGGCGGCCUGCUGGGCUUUUACUGACGCUGAGGCUCGAAAGUGUGGGGAGCAAACAGGAUUAGAUACCCUGGUAGUC
rnacentral:rRNA from 1 species